AGUGGCGGACGGGUGAGUAACGCGUGAGAAUCUGCCUUGGGGUCGGGGACAACCACUGGAAACGGUGGCUAAUACCGGAUAAGCCGAUUGGUGAAAGAUUUAUUGCCCGAAGAGGAGCUCGCGUCUGAUUAGCUAGUUGGUGAGGUAAGAGCUCACCAAGGCAGCGAUCAGUAGCUGGUCUGAGAGGACGAUCAGCCACACUGGGACUGAGACACGGCCCAGACUCCUACGGGAGGCAGCAGUGCGGAAUUUUCCGCAAUGGGCGAAAGCCUGACGGAGCAAGACCGCGUGAGGGAGGAAGGCUCUUGGGUUGUAAACCUCUUUUCUCAGGGAAGAAGCUCUGACGGUACCUGAGGAAUCAGCCUCGGCUAACUCCGUGCCAGCAGCCGCGGUAAUACGGAGGAGGCAAGCGUUAUCCGGAAUUAUUGGGCGUAAAGCGUCCGCAGGUGGCGAUUCAAGUCUGCUGUCAAAGCACGGGGCUUAACUCCGUAAAGGCAGUGGAAACUGAAUAGCUAGAGUGCCGUAGGGGUAGAGGGAAUUCCCGGUGUAGCGGUGAAAUGCGUAGAGAUCGGGAAGAACAUCGGUGGCGAAAGCGCUCUACUGGACGGCAACUGACACUCAGGGACGAAAGCUAGGGGAGCGAAUGGGAUUAGAUACCCC
rnacentral:rRNA from 1 species